UGAGGAAUAUUGGUCAAUGGGCGCGAGCCUGAACCAGCCAAGUCGCGUGAGGGAUGACGGCCCUACGGGUUGUAAACCUCUUUUGUCGGGGAGCAAAUUCCGCCACGUGUGGCGGAGUCGAGAGUACCCGAAGAAAAGCAUCGGCUAACUCCGUGCC
rnacentral:rRNA from 1 species